AGAGUUUGAUCCUGGCUCAGGAUGAACGCUAGCGGCAGGCCUAAUACAUGCAAGUCGAGCGGCAAGUUGGGUAGUAAUACUUGACCUAGAGCGGCGCACGGGUGCGUAACGCGUAUGCAACCUACCUUUUACUGGGGGAUAGCCCGGAGAAAUCUGGAUUAAUACCCCAUGGUAUCUAUGGACCGAAUGGUUUGUAGCUUAAAGAUUUAUCGGUAAAAGAUGGGCAUGCGUCUGAUUAGCUAGUUGGCGGGGUAACGGCCCACCAAGGCGACGAUCAGUAGGGGUUCUGAGAGGAAGGUCCCCCACACUGGCACUGAGAUACGGGCCAGACUCCUACGGGAGGCAGCAGUAGGGAAUAUUGGGCAAUGGUCGCAAGACUGACCCAGCCAUGCCGCGUGCAGGAAGACGGCCCUCUGGGUUGUAAACUGCUUUUAUCUGGGAAGAAAAAGUCCAUGCGUGGAAAAUUGCCGGUACCAGAUGAAUAAGCACCGGCUAACUCCGUGCCAGCAGCCGCGGUAAUACGGAGGGUGCAAGCGUUGUCCGGAUUUAUUGGGUUUAAAGGGUGCGUAGGCGGCUGAAUAAGUCAGCGGUGAAAGACUUCGGCUUAACCGGAGCAGUGCCGUUGAUACUGUUUGGCUUGAGUGUUGGAGGGGUACAUGGAAUUGAUGGUGUAGCGGUGAAAUGCAUAGAUACCAUCAGGAACACCGAUAGCGAAGGCAUUGUACUGGCCAACAACUGACGCUGAGGCACGAAAGUGUGGGGAUCGAACAGGAUUAGAUACCCUGGUAGUCCACACUGUAAACGAUGAUUACUCGCUGUUAUGGUGUAUGCUGUAGCGGCCAAGCGAAAGCGUUAAGUAAUCCACCUGGGGAGUACGCCGGCAACGGUGAAACUCAAAGGAAUUGACGGGGGUCCGCACAAGCGGAGGAGCAUGUGGUUUAAUUCGAUGAUACGCGAGGAACCUUACCUGGGCUAGAAUGUGAAGGAAUGAUUUAGAGAUAGAUCAGUCAGCAAUGACCUGAAACAAGGUGCUGCAUGGCUGUCGUCAGCUCGUGCCGUGAGGUGUUGGGUUAAGUCUCGCAACGAGCGCAACCCCUAUGUUUAGUUGCCAGCACGUAAUGGUGGGGACUCUAGACAGACUGCCUGCGCAAGCAGAGAGGAAGGAGGGGACGACGCCAAGUCAUCAUGGCCCUUACGCCCAGGGCGACACACGUGCUACAAUGGCGCAUACAGCGGGUCGCAAGCCGGUAACGGUAAGCCAACCUCUAAAAGUGCGUCUCAGUUCGGAUUGAGGUCUGCAACUCGACCUCAUGAAGCUGGAAUCGCUAGUAAUCGCGCAUCAGCCAUGGCGCGGUGAAUACGUUCCCGGACCUUGUACACACCGCCCGUC
rnacentral:rRNA from 1 species